rnacentral:rRNA from 1 species
CACGUAGGGGGCAAGCGUUGUCCGGAUUUAUUGGGCGUAAAGAGCUCGUAGGUGGCUGAAUAAGUCGGAUGUUAAAUCCCCAGGCUCAACCUGGGACACCACCCGAUACUGCUCUGGCUAGAGUCCGGUAGGGGAGCGUGGAAUUCCUGGUGUAGCGGUGAAAUGCGCAGAUAUCAGGAGGAACACCAGUGGCGAAGGCGGUCUCGUGG